rnacentral:rRNA from 1 species
UUGACCUCGGAUCAGGCGGGGAUACCCGCUGAACUUAA